UUUUGCAGCAAUCAAACAAGCUGCAAACUUCACAUCAAAUAAAAUAAUCAAACACUAUCAAAAGGUUAUUGACUCAGCAAGAAGCAAGAGAAGCGAAAUCUAAAGUUAAGGCAACAGAGUCAAGAGUGGGAACCUUACUCAUUUUAUGCUUUGACACCAAUAUUGUCGGUUUCAGGCUUCUCCGAGAAUCUCCAAGGAUUAAGUCACGGGUUUUGUCCAUCCUCUUUGACUGGCUCGUGACCGGGAAGCUCUCAUCAGAGGAAGCAGGCAACACGCUCUUGCCUUCGGAGAAACUAAUUCCCUCGAUGGAGGUUUCGUAACACUCCUGCCACAAACUGCAGCAAUAGAAAGGGAAUCUACUGGAGGAAACCCUAGCAGAGGAUGAUGUUUAGAGUUGGAGAAAACUCGCAAGACAACAACGAAGAUGUGGUUCUGUGAUGUACUAAUGCAAAAUCAACAAGAAACAGAGAGAAUGAAGAUGUAUCGAGAAUAAAAAUGUGAGAGGACGGAGACGAGAGAGGUGCGCGAAAAUGAAAAGAGAUGUUUCAGGAUGAGAAUGAAGUUUCAGGAAGAGGGGUUGCACCUAUU
rnacentral:sRNA from 1 species